AAGGACAAGAAAACAAUUUAUUGAGAGAAACAGAAAAGACAAGGACUCCAAAUUCAAGUUGAUUUCCUUAAUUAUCUCUCUACAAUUCAGAUUUUCACCAGCAACACUUUCAGGUGAUCGGCAAUCCAAAUUAACUAAUUAAGUGCCAAAACUUGAACAAGAACCUUAGAUUAAUGGGAAAUAUAGGAAAUUUAUUUACCAUUUACUGUUAGAAUUUA